GCCAGGUGUGGUGGUUCAUGCCUGUAGUCCCAGCUACUCAGGAGGCUGAGGCAAGAAGAUCACUUGAGCCCAGGAAUUUGAGGCUGCAGUGAGCUAUGAUCACACCAUUGCACUCUAGCCUGGGCAACAGAGUGAGAUUCUGUCUCUU
rnacentral:SRP_RNA from 2 species